GUUCUUGCUUUACCAGCCUACAACCAAGCUAACUACCACAAUCCCACCACCAGCCUUUUGGUGUAUUUUUGUUUGUUUGUUUUGUGGGGUUUUGCUUGUUGUAACGGGUUAAAAUGAGCCACCCAAGCCCCUCUAUCUGGAAGGCAUGCUCUGCCCAGCAAUCAGUAAACACUGCUUGGCAGGGCAGGACUGGGCUGCUGCAGCCACCUGGCACCCUGGCAGGCAGCGAUCUCACAUUGCCGGGCUGCGCUCCUGCAGCCGUGAUGAGAACAGGGGCCAGACGCCGUGCCACGUAAAUCAGCCGAGCCCUUCAGAUCAGUGCUGUGGUUCAAGGCCUGGGUCCUGUUGGCACCUCUGCUCCCACAAAGUAUACAGAAAACAGGAUUUUCCUUGAGCAGAAAAGAAUUACAGAGAAGAUUCGGCAUCAUCACUGGACAGGCACUAUCAUGCCCAUGAUAAUUCAUUAGCCACAGAGGAGAAGGAAAGAAGCUCUCAUUUUCAGGAACCAGGACAUACAUCUGGGGCACCGGGUUGCUGAACGGUGAAUCAAGGGUGCAGCUUUAUGCAGCCUGAGUGCCUUCCUUUCUGGGCUGCAAGCUCAGGGAUGCUUUUGCCUUCCUGGAGGCUGCUUGCAGGGGAUGUUUGCUCCUCUGCUUGGCCACCACAAGCAUGUCUAGUCCUGAGUUGUCAGCUGCCGCUGCCUGCUCUGGUGACCCACAUACUCACCCACAUUGUGGUAGAAUAAGGUGAUGGACAUUACCCAGAAAUAUGUUCAUUUUACCACACCAAUUAAGUCCUGAGAUCCUCCUGUUUCAUCCACAAGUGAGCCUGGCAUUGCUUUUUGUUUGUUAAGCUUCACAUUCUCGCUAAGGGGCUUUCUGUAAAGAAAAGUAGUUCCUGCCAUGGACAAGGGAUUGUUUGGAGUCAUUUCAUAUAUCAACCAAAUGCAGCCUUCUUUGUGGGGAAAUGCAGCAGCAAUUUACCAGCAGUGGCUAGGGAUGAAGACAACUGCACCCACUGAAAACUACAGAGGAAACUGUAUAUAUAUAUCUGCACAUAAAGACACCUGAUUUUGGCUAAGGUACUACAGCUGAUUGUUAGAAAAGUAUCACAAAAGGUUUUCUGACUAAAUGCCCUUUAGUUUUGGAUCUGAUAAAAG
rnacentral:lncRNA from 1 species